GGCCCUAUAGCUCAAUGGAUAGAGCACUGGCCUUCUAAGCCAGCUAUGAUGGUUCGAUUCCGUCUCGGGUCA
rnacentral:tRNA from 1 species